rnacentral:rRNA from 1 species
GUGAGGAAUAUUGGACAAUGGGCGCAAGCCUGAUCCAGCCAUGCCGCGUGCAGGAAGACGCAUCUAUGGUGUGUAAACUGCUUUUGUACGGGAAGAAACACUCCCUCGUGAGGGAGCUUGACGGUACCGUAAGAAUAAGGAUCGGCUAACUCCGUGCCAGCAGCCGCGGUAAUACGGAGGGUCCAAGCGUUAUCCGGAAUCAUUGGGUUUAAAGGGUCCGUAGGCGGUUUAAUAAGUCAGUGGUGAAAGCCCAUCGCUCAACGAUGGAACGGCCAUUGAUACUGUUAGACUUGAAUUACAAGGAAGUAACUAGAAUAUGUAGUGUAGCGGUGAAAUGCUUAGAUAUUACAUGGAAUACCAAUUGCGAAGGCAGGUUACUACUUGUGGAUUGACGCUGAUGGACGAAAGCGUGGGGAGCGAACAGGAUUAGAUACCCUGGUAGUCC